rnacentral:rRNA from 1 species
GCUGACUACGUGUCGACUGCUGAGGGAAGACUGAGGUGGUGUGGGGUGUCCGGAGUUGUUGAGCGUAAAUGGCUUGUUGGGUGUGUGGCUAGUCUGCUGUGAAAAGCCCGGGCGCAACCCCGGACUUGCAAGUGAUGCGGGCAGACUAGAGUAUGGUAGGUGAGACUGGAAUUCCUGGUGUAGCGGUUAAAUGCGCAGAUAUCAGGAGGAACACCGAUGGCGAAGGCAGGUCUCUGGGCCACUACUGACGCUGAGAAGCGAAAGCAUGGGGAGCGAACAGGAUUAGAUACCCCAUUAGUC